rnacentral:rRNA from 1 species
AGAGUUUGAUCCUGGCUCAGGAUGAACGCUGGCGGCGUGCUUAACACAUGCAAGUCGAACGGUGAAAGAGGAGCUUGCUCCUCUGGAUCAGUGGCGAACGGGUGAGUAACACGUGAGUAACCUGCCCCAGACUCUGGGAUAAGCACUGGAAACGGUGUCUAAUACCGGAUACGAGCUUCAGCCGCAUGGCUAGGAGCUGGAAAGAAUUUCGGUCUGGGAUGGACUCGCGGCCUAUCAGCUAGUUGGUGAGGUAAUGGCUCACCAAGGCGACGACGGGUAGCCGGCCUGAGAGGGUGACCGGCCACACUGGGACUGAGACACGGCCCAGACUCCUACGGGAGGCAGCAGUGGGGAAUAUUGCACAAUGGGCGCAAGCCUGAUGCAGCAACGCCGCGUGAGGGACACGGCCUUCGGGUUGUAAACCUCUUUUAGUAGGGAAGAAGCGAAAGUGACGGUACCUGCAGAAAAAGCACCGGCUAACUACGUGCCAGCAGCCGCGGUAAUACGUAGGGUGCAAGCGUUAUCCGGAAUUAUUGGGCGUAAAGAGCUCGUAGGCGGUUUGUCGCGUCUGCUGUGAAAACUGGAGGCUCAACCUCCAGCCUGCAGUGGGUACGGGCAGACUAGAGUGCGGUAGGGGAGAUUGGAAUUCCUGGUGUAGCGGUGGAAUGCGCAGAUAUCAGGAGGAACACCGAUGGCGAAGGCAGAUCUCUGGGCCGUAACUGACGCUGAGGAGCGAAAGCAUGGGGAGCGAACAGGAUUAGAUACCCUGGUAGUCCAUGCCGUAAACGUUGGGAACUAGAUGUAGGGACCAUUCCACGGUUUCUGUGUCGCAGCUAACGCAUUAAGUUCCCCGCCUGGGGAGUACGGCCGCAAGGCUAAAACUCAAAGGAAUUGACGGGGGCCCGCACAAGCGGCGGAGCAUGCGGAUUAAUUCGAUGCAACGCGAAGAACCUUACCAAGGCUUGACAUAUACCGGAAAAGUUCAGAAAUGUUCUCCCCGCAAGGUCGGUAUACAGGUGGUGCAUGGUUGUCGUCAGCUCGUGUCGUGAGAUGUUGGGUUAAGUCCCGCAACGAGCGCAACCCUCGUUCUAUGUUGCCAGCACGUAAUGGUGGGAACUCAUAGGAGACUGCCGGGGUCAACUCGGAGGAAGGUGGGGAUGACGUCAACCCAUCAUGCCCCUUAUGUCUUGGGCUUCACGCAUGCUACAAUGGCCGGUAC